UUAAACUGAAAAACUCUUAAUAAUAUCUGAAUAAUUUUAGAAAUAGAAUAAAGUGUUGUUUGGAUGAAAAUAAUACAUCAAAGUUUCCCAAAUGAGGUAUUUAUGAAAUAAAAGAAGUUGANNNNNNNNNNNNNNNNNNCAGAAGAGACGUCUACAUGCCAACCUCAAGUAUGAGUAAAGGAUUUCACCGCAAAAUUUAAGGUUCACCCUAUACCUGAAAAUCUACGAUUGCACAUCGUAGGGCCAAGCCAACAAAUAAAAAGUAACAGGGUAAGCACUAAUCUUUUAUCUUUUACUAGUAAAAGGAAGGUUGAGUUGCUCCUAGGCCUUCAUUGUGAUGAUGUGGCACCUCUAAUAAAAUUGCUUACAAAAGGAUAUAUCAAUACUAAAAAAUGAAAAAAUAAAAAAUUAAAUUAAAAGGGACCAACUAAAAUUAAAUACUCCUAAAACAAAACGGAAAUUUUUCUUAUAAUUUGUGAUUGUGUUAAUCCUCUAGAACUUGAAAGAGCACAACUUUUCAUAUAUAAAAAAAAUUUACAAAAUUAAACAUAUUUAUAGUUGAGUAGUAUCCUGUAUAAAUGUGCAAUAACCUAUCCACUUUCUCACAUCAUGCAAUUGUACUACUCAUUUUGUGUGUUCAUUCUUUAAUCAAUCAACCUCUUUGUACUGAAAUGUGUUUCUUGCUCAAAGGAACUUCAACAAGCUAAGUAUCAUCGUUUCAAACUCUCAUUUUUUUGCGUUAUGAGUAUAUUUUAAAGAUUACAUAAAUUCAUUAGUGUGUGUUUCUAUAUAUAUAUAUAGUUACAUUCCCAAGCAUGCGACUCAAUGUUUAAGAAAUUGAUAUACAUAGGUACGAGAUAAUUGUCUUUCAUUUAAGUUUGUAAAUUAUAAUUGUUUGAUUGCUCUUAUGAUCUUAUAAGACAUCAUAUCUAAUAACCUUUUUAAUUAUCUCUAUCUUUUUUCAGGUUGAAAAUGGUCAUUUAGUGUUUUGUUCCACAGUUGCAAGCUUUAAGUAAUUGUUAGAAUAUUGUAUUUAUUUUCAAUUUUCAAAUCUAUUUAUCUAUCUUCUAUCUAUUAAGCAAGCAUUGUGAUGAUUUGACACCUCUAAAAAAAUUUAUGCAACUUCUUAUUCUAGGUAAAUAAAUAAAUCAUAUAACUUUUACAAUUCUACAACUUUCUAUCUAUCUAUCUAUAAUAAAAAAAAUUGAUUUUGGAUCAUCAUCGCUUUAUUCAAACAACUAUUUGAUGAUACUCUUCAAAUUUUUCAUUGGCUUUUCUUAUAGGAUUGAAGCUGAAGUCACUAUAUAUUUAGAUUAACCAAAUCUUUUUCCAUUAUUUUAUUUCAUAAUAUUGUGGAUAUUACAUUGUAUAUGUGCUAAAACUUUCCGGUAAAAAAAAAAAGUGUUAAAACUACAACCAUCUUUAUGUUUUACAUUUUUCAUUCAUAAUCAUUAUGAAUUAUGUCUUCUAAUAAUUGUGGAUUACGUUUUUCUAUAAUGGAGUUAUGUGUGCGGUCAAAAUCAACAUGCAUUUUUUGGAGCUAGAUAUAUGACCAAUAACAUGUAUGUGACGGUUCGUCUUCAACAAGGUGUGUAUUUUACUCUUGGUUAUUUUGAAGCCUCCAUAUUUUUGCCUAUGUAGCAUGCUUUAGAGAAAAUUUUCUCUAGCUAUAUUUAAACAUUACUCUAAAAUUUAUUUUGUGUCCAUUCAUCAUCCAAAUCAUUGGUCUUGAGACUAACAUAAAUUAUAUCUAGGCAGAUUAUAAUGGGUUUAAAACAAAUGCAAAUAUUGUAAAAAAUAAAAUGCAAGUAACAUAAUAUUACGUUUAUAUAUGGUAUAUUAUAUCUAUACAUAUAUAUAUCUUGGAAGUAUUGAAAAUUAAUAAGUAACAAAUAAUGUAAAUUAAUGGUGCUAAAAUAAAAAAAGAGGAUCAAAAUUAUAAAAGAAAAAAAAUGAAAAUACGUCACUAAAGUAUGUAUAUAUAAAUUAUAUGUAUGCUCAACAUAAAAAAUAUACUAUGUAUAUAUAAUGACAUUUACUAUUCCUAUUCAUUAUUCAAAGGUUACAUAUUAUUCACUUUCUAUUAGAAUGAAAUAACUUUUUGCAUUGAAUACCUUAUGGGUUGAUGGUUACAUUUCAAGUAUUCGUUUUUGUGGUGGUUGAUGAGUCAAUCUCUUGAAUAUCAGGUAUGUUACUCAAUGAUUAAAAAAUUAUAUUAGUUUACAUAUAUGUCUUUUAUUGUUUAUAAAUUUCAAUUUUUUAUACGUUCUCAAAAUCUUUCAAGACAUCAACUCUAGUAAUUUUCAUGUGUAACUAGGUUACUGGAUUUAUAAAUUGUAUCCUUUAUAUUACUUUUAUGAUCUUGCAAGACUACAAUUCGAUCUAAUAAUUUUUUGUGCAUAAUAUUUUGAGUAUAUGAUUUAAGAGCUCUAUAUUAUAAAAAAAAAAAGUAUUGCAUUCUAAUAAGCACUACUAAAUUAUACUGAAAACCCGAAUAAAAAUUAUUCAAUAGCAAAAGACAAAAAAAAUAUGAGGGGACAAGAAAAAUCAUUAAAAAAAAUGAAAGAUAAAAAAAAUGAAUUAAGCAUAGUAAAAAAAAGAUAAAUAAAAUCGCUAGCUAAAAACAUUAUGAAAAUUUUUGACCAAUAAAAUAUGGGAUAUAAAUAUUCUACCAAGUGAAUGUUUGAGAAGAAACUUCAAUAGAAACAAUUUAUUAUCAGAACAAGAANNNNNNNNNNNNNNNNNNNNNNNNNNNNUUUUCAAGAUUAAGAUGAAAAAUCAUCAACUAUAUAAAUUGUUGAUGCUCAUACGUCAAAAUAAAUUUUAGAAAUUGUUGAAACUGUAGAUAUUAAAACAUAAUUACAUGCAAAAUAUUAAGGUGAUUUAGAUAAUCUCAUUCUUUACAUAUAGUGUGUGCAUGUGAUCUGAAAUUCACUAAAAAUUCCAAAAUUAUUGAUUUGAUUUAAAUAAUAAUGCAAAUAUUUAAAUAAAAUAAGUACAUAUUCUAUAAAGUGUUAAAAAAAAUGUUUAAGUUACGGCUCAAAAUAAAAUAGUGAGAUGUUGGUAAGAAAAAUAUAACAUUUUUUUAAGCAAAUAAUAAGAUGACAUGUGAAAUUCAUAUAUAUAAAAUCAUCAUCCAAACUUAUAUAUUGGCAACAAAAAAUAUUCACAUUUAUAACAAAAAUAAACUAAGAUCUUAUAAAGAAAAUCAACAUCCAAACUAAGAUCUUAUUGAAAAAAAAGUACAUCAAAAAUAAAAAGCAAAGUGGUACAUGUGACUAUACAGUUGCAAUUCAUCUAAAGAAAACUAAGAUCUUAUACAAUUACACUAUUAAAAUAAAAUAUGAUUCUAAAAUAUUAUAAGAGAUCUAUUACAUUAAAUUAUAAACAAAACUACGAUAUAAAUUAAUGAAAAAUCUCAUAUUUCUANNNNNNNNNNNNNNNNNNNNNNNNNNNNNNNNNNNNNNNNNNNNNNNNACUUAUAUACUAAUAUUAAAUAUAAUCAUAUUUUAAAUUAAUGUCUAUCUUUUAACUAUAUAUGAUUAUACUUAUCACAAUUAUUAUUUUUUAUUUAUAAAAAUAUUAUAAUUAUAUAUUUUAAUUGAACCCGUGCAACGCACGGGUUUACCCCUAGUAUUCAAUAACUGAGAUGAAUGCAAGCAAAGUAAUUAAAUAAAUAAAUAAAUAUGUAACGAUUGGUAAAUGCUAAUAAAAAUGAAUUACAUAAACAAUACAAAAAGUACAAAUAGCAAAGUAACUAAAUUUCAAAAUCAAAUAAAAUCAAUUCCCAAAUGUAGGCUAUGUCAUAAAAAUUCAAAACUCCCUAAUACACGUGGUACCAGGGUCGGAGGUCAUAAAUGUACACUCCUCUACACGACAACAAAUUCGGAAGCCGAGAUAAAUUGUAAUCGGUCAUUCCUCUACACGACAACAAAUUUGGAAGCCGAGAUAAAUUGUAAUCGGUCAUUCCUCUGCACGACAACAAGUGGAACCAAGAUAAAUUGUGUAACACCCAAACCCGUUAAUUAAUUAACUCUGCCUUUAUAAAAUCUUUUUCGAAAAUACGCAGCGGAAAAAUUGAAAAUAUGGUUAUAAAGCGCUGGUUUGAAUACUACAAG
rnacentral:lncRNA from 1 species